GUAUUACCCAAGAACACAUAAAUACUUUUUUUUGGAACAUAAUUACAAUUAUUUCAGUAAUGCACAAUAUGAUUGCACCUAACAGUAAUUGCACUUACUGAUCGUUGACAGUUCGACUGUUGCAUCAUGUGUACACCUUUACAAUUUUCAUAUAUGUCUCCAAAUCUACCAUUCUUAAGAAGUUGCUCCCCACUACUCCCUAUUCUCUCGUCAUGCACACCGUCCACAUCAGCGAUGUGCCACGUCGUUGCAAGCUGUCCACAUCAUCAUCCCAUGUGUAAAAACGAUUUCUCCUUCCAUUACCAGUGUCUAGAACCAACCGCGGACUAGCCAAUCUCCCAAUCUGUAAAGUCUGUUCUCUCCUCUUCCCACCAACGCGACUCUUCCUUCUCCAACCUUUUCCUCAACUAUAACCUCCUCCCGUGAGGCGCGAGCUCCUCUUAAUUGUAAUCCACUAUGAAGCAUCACGGACAAAUUCACUACAAAAGAGGGGGAUUCCUUCUGUAACUAACUAGGCAGUCGAAAAGCACAGAGGCAUCGUCUUACCUUCAUUCUUAAUCGACGCGUCGCCACCGGAAUCGAUCUCUCGUGCGCACUACCUCAUCACGCGAUGUCUCACCAUCACGCCACGCCUGCCCGGCGCUGCUGCACUCCCGCAGCGCGUCGGCGGCACCCGCGGCGCUUCACCGUUGCCCCGGUUCGGUGUCGCCUGGGUUGCGCUACCACGCACCCGCAGCGGGUCGCCGGCAACAGCAACACCUUCCUGAUGCCUCGCAUGGGCUUCUCUUCUCCACCUCCGGCCACCCGCCUCAAGCGCCCUUUUACGACCACGACGACACCCUCCGCGCCUGGAUGCGAGCAUUGGAGAUCAGCUGUGAGACGACUGACAUGGAGGAAGAGCAGGAGCGAGUGCGCCGCUUCCUGCCGGACCUGCUACAUCUGGUCUGCGGCCGCCUCCCUCGCCGGCGCUGUCUGCAGGCACUGUCGCUCGUGCGCUUUCCAAGUGUACCCGGCUGACGCAGCGCCCGUCCUGCUCAGCGCCACCGGCGCCAUCAGCUGAUACAACGCCUUCGUCGGACCGUCCGCAUCGGAUUCGCCCGGCCGGGACUGCCCUCCACACCCACCCCACGCCAUCGUCGCAGCUCCACCAAGGAGAGCCCCUCCUUCCCUUGCUCCGGCGUGGUGCCCGACAAGCCAACCGGUGUGGCUUGCAGUCGAGGAGGAAGAAUAGGUGCUCUGCAGGGCCGUAUGUUGGCAUGUGCAGCAGGAGCGACUGAACAGGGCCCCCAACAUCGGAGGGGGCCCAAAUUGUUUGUUAAUCAAGGCCUAAUUUUGAUUUGCACAGGGCCUCCAAUUUCCAUGGUAUAAAUCUGCCUCAACGAUUCACAACCGGUGUCACUGCUCCCCGCGAUGUAAUGUCCCAAAUCAUCUAUUUCAACAUCACCAGGAUACAGGAGAGUGAGUUUGGGAUGGGGAAUUGGAGAUACAGAGGGAGGAGGAAGUUGCAGGGGUGAGGUUCCGAGAAUGGGAGAGAGAGAGAGAGUUCAGAGACUAAGGCCUUGUUUGGUUCAUAAGUCCUAGGACUUUUUUUAGUCCUAACUUAUAAGUCUCAAGUUCCUAAAAAGUCCCUAUCUAUUUGGUUCCUGGGACUUAACAUGGACUAAAAAACCAUAUUACAACUAUAAGUCCCUGUAAGACUCUCUUUGGGAGUCUUAUUUCAUAAGUCUCAAAUGCCCACUUUAAGUCCCUAUAAGUCUCUUCUGUUUGGUUUAAAUGAGAUUUAUAAGGACUUUUUUAAGUCCCUAAACCAAUAAGUCCCGAAAACAAACACCCCUAAUCAACGCCUGCUCACUUGCACGGUCUCAGCCACUCUUAUAAAUUUCUCAGCCACGAGCCAGCUCAGCGAGCUUGCUCAUCCUGAAUCGCAGCUCUCCUCAUAGCUGGAUCCUGCACAAUUGUCUGGGUUGGCAAGACACCAGGCGACUGUCCGCCGACGUAGCCGGAGGCGUGACACACGACCAGAGAGGAGGUACCAGAAUUAAGAUGACUUUACACUGUUAAAGCUAAUGAAAUGGAAUAUCUCAUUUCUUGCCUAUGUUUUUUUCCAAGUAAGAAAUGGUUGGGAUCCAUCUCCGUGGCCCAUAACGAAUAUACAAUGAGUCAUCUGACUCAUCUCACCUUACCUUAUCAAGAUUAAGUUUAUGUGCCUUUAUUUGGUUCUUUCGUACUCAACUGCCUUUUCUUAAGUUUGUGCAUUUGUUGUUCUAUUUGUUCCAUGCUUGAGGCUAGAAAUAUUGUUAUAUUCAUUUUCAUAGCCAUUAGCCUCUUUAGUACUAGAACGUUUAUAGUUUUUAUAG